rnacentral:lncRNA from 1 species
GCUUUCUUGACCUGGUGAGCCAUAUACAACAAAUCUACCUGACCGAAUGCAACAGAGCAUAUGAGUUAAUCUGACAAGGAGAUUACUGCCUCUAGCUGCCUCAAUUUGUCUCCUGUGCUUGAAGUUUCUGCCUACCAGAUUCACAGUGGCUUCAUGAAAAUGGAUGAUGCUUAAUAUGAGAGGACAGUCUUCCUUCAACUCUUCCCUUUAGAUCAAUAACUUAGAGUCAUUUAAAACACCCCGAUGAGUAUGACCGCAUACUUUUUGGCUGAUUAGGUAUGUGACAUGUAAGAUACUUCUGUGAAACUGUUGAAGUAAGACUACAUGUGUAAG